rnacentral:rRNA from 1 species
GCUUGUGGCUUUACCACCCUGAACAUGCCUAAUCUCAUCUGAUCUCGGUAGCUAAGCAGGAUCAGGCCUGGUUAGUUCUUGGAUGGGAGGCUGCCUGGGAAUAUCAUGUGUUGGGAAGUC